CUUGCACAUCUAACCCUUGCUGAGUUAUUCUUUGUAUAACGCCAGCAUUGUCAAGUGUGCAUACAGCAAUGGGCAACUUGUCGCCUUUCUUGAACCUCGUGUUCUAGAUUGUGAACUGUAAAGUUGCUACAAUU